UCAGUGCUCUUGCAGCACAAAUGAGAGGUGCCAGUACAUCUGCAUAGAGCCAGCCUACAAAACUAGCCUCUUCCUCUUCCUGUCUUCCCGGGUUACACCAGCACGAGCCUCCGAGCCAGCCUUCUUUUUCUGUUUCUCUUCCAGCAGUUCUUGGAGCCAAAGAAAUCCCCUUUCCACUAUGAGCAUCCGGGUCCUGUGUCAGGUGGCCCUUUGUCUCCUUGGAGUAGGCACUGUGGAGUGUGGCAUCAUUCAGACACCAAGAUUUCUGCUCAGAAAGGAAGAACAGAGUGCAACUCUGAAAUGUGAACAGAAUUUGGAUCAUGACUCCAUGUACUGGUACAGACAGGACCCAGGACAUGGCUUGAGACUGAUCUACUAUUCCCAAGUUGUAAAGGCGAUCCAAAAGGGAGAUCUAGCUGAAGGCUACCAUGUCUCUCGAGAGAAAAAGCCACUUUUCCCUCUCACUGUGACUUUGGCCCAAAAGAAUCAGACCGCUCUUUACUUUUGUGCCAGCAGUAGGGCACAGUGGAACACAGCCACCACCUCUCUGGGCAUAAAUGUUCACACUCCCUGCUUCCCCCUCCAGCCUCUCGGUGCCUGCCUUGCCUUUCCUUCCCCCUCAGCCAGACAUUGA